ensembl:snRNA U6 U6 spliceosomal RNA
CCAUCUUCUUCGAUUGUUCUGAAUAGUUUGAGAAGAAUUAGAGUUAGUUCUUCUUUAAAUGUCUGGUAGAAUUCAGCAGUGAAUCCAUGGCCCCUGCGCAAGGAUGACACGCAAAUUCGUGAAGCGUUCCAUAUUUUU